UAGAGAUCCUGCCUGUGUGUGAGUUGCUGAUUUAAUUAUAGGAGUAUUAGAUACCUCUUGUAAUUUAAAAAAAAAAAGAUGUUACAUGAUGUUGUAAUAAAGGAUUCGAGUUGAAGUCAAACUCAAAAAAAAAAAAAAGAGAACAAAAAAAAAAGGAACUUGCUUAAACAAAUUAAACAGAACGUAGAUGUUUAUGAUAAAAUUAUACCACCAUCUCUUAGGUAUAAAAUUAUCCCUUUCCCAAGGAAUAAGGGACUGCUCGAAAAAUU
rnacentral:lncRNA from 1 species